UCGUCGUUGUUGUCGUUGUCAUCGUCGCAGUGUUCUCAUCUUGCUUUCUUAUUUUCUGGCAGAUGCAGACUUUCCAUGAAGCUGUUCUCCUCCCCUUCCCUCUGCCUUUGAGGGACACUCUACCCCAGGGGUCCCCAAACUAAGGCCCGGGGGCCGGAUGCGGCCCUCCAAGGUCAUUUACCUGGCCCCCGCCCUCAGUUUUAUAAUAUAAUAUUUUUAUAUCAGUUUUAAUAAUAUAAUAUAUUGUAUAUACAUAUAAUAUUGAUAAUAAUCUUAUGUUAUACAAUAUAAUACUAAUAGUAAUACCAUAUAAUAAUAUUAAUUAUAUAUUACAUAUUAUAUAAUAGUAUAGUGGUAUAGUUCAAUAUAGUAAUAUAUAAUGCUAAUAUUGUGUUAUGCUAAUAAUAUAAUUGUUAUGAUUGAGCCUCAUGGCUCUGUUACUGGCAGACGUGGGCGUAAGACUCCUCGAGAGUCAGAUACUCUCGAGGAGCGAGAAAGAAAGAGACUGCGAGAUAUCUUUGCAGCACCAUCUGACGAAGAGUCUUUUGAGGGGUUUACGGAGAGAAUGGAGGAGGGGCUGGUUAGCUCGGAGGAGGAUGAGAUGGAUUGGACUCGGGUGAGGGAGGAAUUGGGUGCCACUGGCAAUGAUGGGAUGGAAGAUGAAUGGGGACCUUCAGGAUUAGACCCAUGGACAAGCUGGAGGGAUGGGACGGGAUCCACAGCUGGGGAUGCUGUGGGGCGUAGUCAGAGGUGUUCCAACUCUGAUGAGGAAAGUGAUGAGGAAACGCCCGGGUUAAGGAGGGCAGCUGAUAGUGAUGAGGAUUUGUAACUGGCAUAAAAUGAGGCUUGGGAGCAAUUGCAAAUUGCGUUGGGCAAGGUAAUCUGGACGAACGCUUGGGAUCUGUGUGGGACGCUUUCCUGAAGACUGGUGUGUUUUCGUGUGCUGAUACCUUUGACCUUCCGUCGUCUUCUUGACGGACGCCAUCUCCUGCUUUGGAUUUCGGACUGAACUGACCACGGCUUGACUUCCCCCUACUCGGACUUGGUGAAAACUACAAACGUCUGCUUCUGGCUUGAACUACGGAAAGGAACUGGGUCUACUCUACUGCUUCAAUCCUCGGCUGAUCUGUGUGUAUUGGAAAUCUUGCCUGCUGUGUGGAGGAGUGACUCAAGUUACUCAAAGCACAGUGCUGGCAGCAGAGAGGAAUCUGCUGCCAAUUAAUUGCAUUCUUUUGAACACUUUGUUCCCCGGCUUCUGUUUUGUUUAUCCCCAGGCUGAAGCAAGCUGUUUUGUUUUUACCCGGAUUAAACUCCGGUUUAAUCCGGUUUAUCUUUUGAACGUUUUUCCUUGCCCCUUUUUGCUUUUAAAGGCUAAUACUGCCUGGCCCUUGUAUUUUACGGGCAUUUUGAGUUCUGUUAUCCAAUAAACUCUGUUAUCUUUGA